AGAGUUUGAUCCUGGCUCAGGACGAACGCUGGCGGCGUGCCUAAUACAUGCAAGUAGAACGCUGAAGGAGGAGCUUGCUUCUCUGGAUGAGUUGCGAACGGGUGAGUAACGCGUAGGUAACCUGCCUGGUAGCGGGGGAUAACUAUUGGAAACGAUAGCUAAUACCGCAUAAGAGUAGAUGUUGCAUGACAUUUGCUUAAAAGGUGCACUUGCAUCACUACCAGAUGGACCUGCGUUGUAUUAGCUAGUUGGUGGGGUAACGGCUCACCAAGGCGACGAUACAUAGCCGACCUGAGAGGGUGAUCGGCCACACUGGGACUGAGACACGGCCCAGACUCCUACGGGAGGCAGCAGUAGGGAAUCUUCGGCAAUGGACGGAAGUCUGACCGAGCAACGCCGCGUGAGUGAAGAAGGUUUUCGGAUCGUAAAGCUCUGUUGUAAGAGAAGAACGAGUGUGAGAGUGGAAAGUUCACACUGUGACGGUAUCUUACCAGAAAGGGACGGCUAACUACGUGCCAGCAGCCGCGGUAAUACGUAGGUCCCGAGCGUUGUCCGGAUUUAUUGGGCGUAAAGCGAGCGCAGGCGGUUAGAUAAGUCUGAAGUUAAAGGCUGUGGCUUAACCAUAGUAGGCUUUGGAAACUGUUUAACUUGAGUGCAAGAGGGGAGAGUGGAAUUCCAUGUGUAGCGGUGAAAUGCGUAGAUAUAUGGAGGAACACCGGUGGCGAAAGCGGCUCUCUGGCUUGUAACUGACGCUGAGGCUCGAAAGCGUGGGGAGCAAACAGGAUUAGAUACCCUGGUAGUCCACGCCGUAAACGAUGAGUGCUAGGUGUUAGACCCUUUCCGGGGUUUAGUGCCGUAGCUAACGCAUUAAGCACUCCGCCUGGGGAGUACGACCGCAAGGUUGAAACUCAAAGGAUUGACGGGGGCCCGCACAAGCGGUGAGCAUGUGGUUUAAUCGAAGCAACGCGAAGGCCUUACCAGGUCUUGACAUCCCUCUGACCGCUCUAGAGAUAGAGCUUUCCUUCGGGACAGAGGUGACAGGUGGUGCAUGGUUGUCGUCAGCUCGUGUCGUGAGAUGUUGGGUUAAGUCCCGCAACGAGCGCAACCCCUAUUGUUAGUUGCCAUCAUUUAGUUGGGCACUCUAGCGAGACUGCCGGUAAUAAACCGGAGGAAGGUGGGGAUGACGUCAAAUCAUCAUGCCCCUUAUGACCUGGGCUACACACGUGCUACAAUGGCUGGUACAACGAGUCGCAAGCCGGUGACGGCAAGCUAAUCUCUUAAAGCCAGUCUCAGUUCGGAUUGUAGGCUGCAACUCGCCUACAUGAAGUCGGAAUCGCUAGUAAUCGCGGAUCAGCACGCCGCGGUGAAUACGUUCCCGGGCCUUGUACACACCGCCCGUCACACCACGAGAGUUUGUAACACCCGAAGUCGGUGAGGUAACCGUAAGGAGCCAGCCGCCUAAGGUGGGAUAGAUGAUUGGGGUGAAGUCGUAACAAGGUAGCCGUAUCGGAAGGUGCGGCUGGAUCACCU
rnacentral:rRNA from 1 species